rnacentral:rRNA from 1 species
GACGAACCGUGCGAACGUUAUUCGGAAUCACUGGGCUUAAAGCGCGUGUAGGCGGGCCGCCGCGUCGGUUGCUGAAAUCCCCCGGCUCAACCGGGGAACGGGCAGCGAUACGGGCGGCCUGGAGGGAGGUAGGGGGGGCCGGAACUCACGGUGGAGCGGUGAAAUGCGUAGAUAUCGGGAGGAACACCAGUGGCGAAGGCGGUUGCCUGGGGCUUUGCUGACGCUGAUGCGCGAAAGCGUGGGGAGCAAACAGG